rnacentral:lncRNA from 1 species
AUUGGAUUUGGGGCGAAUUUUAUUUAUCGAAUUUAUAAUGGAGUUUAUGGAAUAAAUAAAGCAAACAGGACUAAAUAUAAAUGUUGUUUCAGAAAAUAUUUGUGUGUAUGCCCAUACACAUGUGCAAAUAGAGACGUGGCUCUCUAUACACACCCAUAUACACAACACACAUUCACAGACAUGUAUCGAGUUGCACAGCCAGAAAUUAUAUAGCUCACCCUGUUCUACUCUACAGAACACGGACCAACAGAAGUUAUUGGGAAGUGCCAAGUGUGCACCAUGGAAGCAAGGAAGAGCUCGCAUUUGGCAUUCUGGAAUGUUCUGUGGCUGCCGGCCAGCCUCUCCCCACCAGGCGAGGAGGCAGGGUACAGAGGAAGGCAGAGCACGGGCCCAACACCGAGGGAUGGAGCUUUCCAGCAGGAGGUCUCUGCUUGAGGUGUGGGUUUCAUGGGCAUGGGGACACCCAUGUCACACACCAGGGGAACAGAAUUACGUGCUGAGUGAAGUCUGGGUUUCAGAAGAGUUCCAGGCCUGAGGCUGUCAGAACUUGGAGAGAGGACAGUGUACAUUUCUGAUU